UACGAAGGGGGCUAGCGUUGUUCGGAUUUACUGGGCGUAAAGCGCACGUAGGCGGAUUGUUAAGUUAGAGGUGAAAUCCCGGAGCUCAACUCCGGAACUGCCUUUAAUGCUGGCAAUCUCGAGUCCGGAAGAGGUAAGUGGAACUCCUAGUGUAGAGGUGGAAUUCGUAGAUAUUAGGAAGAACACCAGUGGCGAAGGCGGCUCACUGGCCCGUAUCUGACGCUCAGGCGCGACAGCGUGGGGAGCAAACAGG
rnacentral:rRNA from 1 species